rnacentral:rRNA from 2 species
AGGAAAAGAAACCAACAGGGAUUGCCUCAGUAACGGCGAGUGAAGCGGCAACAGCUCAAAUUUGAAAUCGGGCGCCCGCCCGAGUUGUAAUUUGCAGAGGAUGCUUCUGGGCAGCGAGCCGGUCUAAGUCUCUUGGAACAGGGCGUCAUAGAGGGUGAGAAUCCCGUAUGCGACCGGCCGCGCACCCUCCACGAAGCUCCUUCGACGAGUCGAGUUGUUUGGGAAUGCAGCUCAAAAUGGGAGGUAAAUGUCUUCUAAAGCUAAAUACCGGCCAGAGACCGAUAGCGCACAAGUAGAGUGAUCGAAAGAUGAAAAGCACUUUGGAAAGAGAGUCAAACAGCACGUGAAAUUGUUGAAAGGGAAGCGCAUGCGCCCAGACGCGUCGGCGGCGUUCCGCCGGUCUUCUUGACCAGGCUCACUUCGCCGCCGACGGGCCAGCAUCGCUUGGGCGCGCCGGAAAAAGGCGCGGGGAAUGUGGCCCCCUUCGGGGGGUGUUAUAGCCUCGCGCGCCAUGCGGCGACGCCCGAGCGAGGACCGCGCUUCGGCGAGGAUGCUGGCGUAAUGGGCGCCUGCGGCCCGUCUUGAAACACGGACCAAGGAGUCUAACAUCUACGCGAGUGUUUGGGUGUCAAACCCCGACGCGCAAUGAAAGUGAACGGAGGUGGGAACCUUUGCGGGUGCACCAUCGACCGAUCCUGAUGUCUUCGGAUGGAUUUGAGUAAGAGCGUAGCUGUUGGGACCCGAAAGAUGGUGAACUAUGCCUGAAUAGGGUGAAGCCAGAGGAAACUCUGGUGGAGGCUCGCAGCGGUUCUGACGUGCAAAUCGAUCGUCAAAUUUGGGUAUAGGGGCGAAAGACUAAUCGAACCA